AUAAUACUCCCUCCGUCAGAAAAUGCUUGUCGGAUGAGUGGAUGUAUCUAGACGCAAUUUAGUCCUAGAUACAUUCAUUUUCAUCCAUUUCUCUUACAAGUAUUUCCGGACGGAGGGAGUAUGUC
rfam:Triticum aestivum genome assembly, contig: Triticum_aestivum_CS42_TGACv1_scaffold_500843_6BL